rnacentral:lncRNA from 1 species
UUAAAGAUGACGAUAGGAGCAAAAAGUGUGAAAGUAGAAUCUAGUCCUAUCUCUUGAGAGAAGUGAUGGGUUUGGCACUGCAAAGAGAAUCCAUGUUGGGAGAUAACUUGAAAAGGAGAGCCACAAGGGAGGGGUUGGUGUCGGGCACGCCUAGCUUCUUCAAACUUGUUUGUUUCUUGAUUCCAACAGUACUCAGAGAUGCAAAAUUUUUAUUUUAGUGGGCGGUGAACAUUGGCUUCAUUCCCUUUGGCGUUUUCCCAUGUUCCCACAACUCACACCUUAUUCUCUUCUCUCAUGCCCUCCAAAAUGUGCAUGCAGUGAUCUUUCGGGUAUUAACACUCAAUUCUAUGUCCCCAUAAACCUUCUCUUCCUCUGUCACCCUUUGUGCCCAUUCU